rnacentral:rRNA from 1 species
ACCCAAUAGAUACCCGGGUAGUCCACGCCUUAAACGAUGAGAGCUAGUUGUCAGUAAGCAUGCUUAUUGGUGACGCAGCUAACGCAUUAAGCUCUCCGCCUGGGGAGUACGGCCGCAAGGUUAAAAACUCAAGGAAAUUAGACGGGGGCCCGGCACAAGCGGUGGAGCAUGUGGUUUAAUUUACGAAGCAACGCGCAGAACCUUACCCACCUUUGACAUCCCGUGCUAUCUAGAGAGAUCUAGAGUCCCUUCGGGGUCGCGGAGACAGGUGCUGCAUGGCUGUCGUCAGCUCGUGUCGUGAGAUGUUGGGUUAAGUCCCGCAACGAGCGCAACCCUCGCUUCUAGUUGCCAGCAUUUAGUUGGGCACUCUAGAGGAACUGCCUGCGCCAAGCAGGAGGAAGGCGGGGAUGACGUCAAGUCCUCAUGGCCCUUACAGGUGGGGUCGUACACACGUGCUACAACUGGCGGUGACAAAGGGAUAAUCCCUAAAAGCCGUCUCAGUUCGGAUUGUCCUCUGCAACUACGAGGGC